CUGUAGUAAUUUUAAAAGCUUGGCAUUUACAUAAACAGAGCAGUGGAACAGAGACUAUGCUGUAAAAUACUAGGGAAUAAACUUGAAAGAGCUUGUAUACUAACAACUAUAAAACACUGCCAGAUGAAUUCCUAACUUAGGAAUUAGGCAAGAAAAAGAAAAGAACUCCAAGUUGAAAUCAUGUGUGUGAAAUCCCUUUCUACCUUCCUUCCAAAAGGACAUUUUUGGUUGCAUUUAGGGACCCCCUGAAUAAUCUAGGAAACUCCUUAUCUGACAAUUCCUGAUAUAGUCACAUGUGUCAGGACCCUUUGUCCAAGUAAUGUGACAUGCAUAUGGAUUAGAAUGUAGACCUAUCUUUGGAGUUACAAGUUACUCUACUAUAUGAACAUGAGGUUUGCAGAUCCCCAAAGCUCCUGACAACUGCUAAUGAAAUUAUGUAGAAUGUCUAUCAAACUGUUCAACCUUCUUUGUCAUUCUCGCAGUGAUUUUUAUAUGUUUUCUCUUUUUUAACUUUUGUAUCUUUUCUCUUUCACCUACCCCCACUCCCAACCUUAAGGGAAGCUUGAUAAGUUGUAACAGUUUUUAAUCAGUAUUCAAAUACUUAACAUUUUGCAGGACUCUCCAUCCAAAUUUAUUGAAUCAGCAACUGCAUUUGCAUUUAACAGUUGCAACAUCACCAGUUUUUCUUGUCCAUCAUAUUUCUUCUUCCUUGCACUCUUUAUUAUGAUUUAGUAUUUGUUUGAGGUAUCAGAUUUUCUUCAGAAGGGUUUGUGGCUAGUUAUAUAUGCUAAGUCUUUUCCAGAAUGAGUGUACUUUUUUGCUCUCCUGUUUGAACAGGGUUUUGACAUACAUAAAUUUUAAGAUUAAAAGAAUUUUCCUUUGAAAUUGUUUAAGUAUUGCUACAUUUCAGUGUAUUUUGGUAAGUAAUUGUGAAGUGAUAAAGCAACUGAGAAAUUAAAUAAGAUAUACAGUUUUAAGGGCACAGUUCCCAAAACCACCUUCACUUCUGACACCAAGUGCAAAUUUUGGGGUUCCCCAUACCACCUUCAGGUUCAAUAGCUCACUAGGAGGAUUCACAGAAUGCUAAGAACAGUGUUAUACUUACUGUAAUGGUUUAUUAUAGGCAGGAGAUACAGAUUAAGAUCCAUGUAAGAAAGAAAUACAGUGGGUAGAGUUUGGAAAGUUACCAAAUAUGGUGAUUCUGAUCUCAAGGAGUCAGGACAUAGUACUUUUCUUUUUUUUUUUUUUUAAUUUUUUUUUGUCUUUUUUUUCGGUACCAGGGAUUGAACUCACGACUGCUUGCUUGCAAGGCAGGUGCUUAUGCCGCUGAGCUAAAUCCCCAGCCCCGACAUAGUACUUUUCUGACAUUGCUGUGUAACAUCAUGUGCAGCAGAAAAGCUUAAUCAAACUACAGUGUUGCAUUUUUACUUAAUUUUAAUUUCAUAAGCAUGAUUGGCUUACAACCUAGUAGCUUGAUCUUAGUUUCUAACUGCUCUAUGUGUGACCCAGAGUUCCAUAAAUCACAUGGUUGGUUUUUCUUCAAGUGACUAUCACUCUCCAAAUCAUAUUGUCAUUAUCUAUAUAACUAUUAGAAAAAAAAUAUAAAAAGUUCUGUUUAUGAUAGUAUCAGAAAGAUACUUAGAAAUAAGUUUAACUAAAUAGAGGGAUCUGUGUAGUAUACUGAAACUUAUAAAGCAUUUAUUUAAGAAAUUGAAGACACAAAAAUGAAAAAAAAAAUCCCAUGUCUAUGGAUUAGAAGAAUCAUUACUGUUAAAAUGAUCUAAAGCAAUAUGCACAUUUAGUUCAAUCAGGAUCAAAAUUCUAAUUCAUAUGAAACUGUAAAAAACCUUAAAUAUACAAAGUAAUUUUGAAAAAGCAGAAAAAUGUUGGAGGCGUCACAUUAAUCUCAGUAGUGACUUCAGAUUUUGUCACAAAGCUAUAGCAAGCAAACCAGUGUGUUUCUUCAUAAAAAGAGACAGACUCCCCACAGUGAAUGUAAUCAUUAUGUACCCAUAGAUGUGUACUAAUAAAAAAUAAAGUUGACCAGUAAAAAAAAAUCCUGUGAAAUCCCUGUAACAGUAGAGGAAACAAUAGACACAAAUUAAAAAGAAGCAUACACAUUGGGAUACAAUAUUUGUGAGCCAUAUAUAUCUAAUGAGGGAUUAGUGUUCAAAGUGUUUAAAGAGCUCAUAAACUCAAUAGCAGAAUAAGAAAGCAGUUUAAAAAUGCACAAAGGUCUUAUUAAAGACAUUUCUCUAAAGAAGAUAUACAGUUGGCUAAUCAGUGUAUUAAAAUAUGCUCAACCUCACUAAAAAUCAGAAACACAAAUCAAAAACACAAUGAGAUAUUGCCUCAACCCAAAGAGGAUGGCUAUUAAAAAACCAAAGAGAAUAAGUGUUGGAGAGGAUAUAGAGAAAAAGGCACCCUUGUACACUGUUGGUGGGAAUGUGAAUUGAUACAGCCACUAUGGAAAGCAAAAUGGAGUGUAUUUAAAAAGUUAAAAUGAGAACCACCUUUUAAUCCAUCAAUCCUUUCUCAAAGUGUAUUAUGUUCAAAGGAAAUGAAUACAGUACUCCAAGAGAUAUUCUUGCUCUUGUGUUCACUGCAAGAUGAUUUAUAAUAGCUAGUAUAUGAAAAUAGUGUCAACAUUUGUCAGUGGAUGAAUAGAUAAAUGGUCACACACACAUACACAUACAAACCAGUAUACGUAGGCCAACUUUAAAGAAGAUCUUGCUGUUUGCAGCAACAUGGAUAAACGUAGAGAACAUUAUACUAAGUGAAACAUGCUGUUCACAGAAAGAAAAAUACUGCUUGAUCUCAUUUGGAAUGUUAAAAAUUUGAGUACAUAGAAGCAGAGCAUAGUGCAUCAAAUCCCAGGGACCAGGAGGUGGGGAAAAUGGGAAGAUAUUGGUUACUGUGUACAAACUUGGUGUUAUAAGCUGAAUAAAUUCAGAGACUUAAUGUAUAAUAUGUUGACUAUAGUUAGUAAUAAUGUAUUAAAUAGUGAAAUAUGCAAUGAGAAUAGAUUUUAAGGAUCCUCACUACACAUAUAGAAAGUAAUUUUGAGGUGACCGUAUUAGAUUUUCAUUGCUAGAACAAAAUGCUUGACAUACAGAAGUUAAAGCAGGAGAGGUUUUGGCUUGUUUCAGAAGCAUCGUGGUAGCAGGGCAUGUCAUAGAAAAGCUGUCCAUCACAACAUGAAAGAGGGAAUAGUGUAGGGGUGAGGUGGAGAGAGACAGAAUGAAUCUAAGAAAUCUACCCUCCAAAGGCACGCUGCAUCACCUCUAACUAGACCCCACCCCCUCUUAGCACAUUCAGCCAUGAACCCAUCAAUAAAUUAAUCCACCAAUGAUUAUAGCACUCUCAGUAUCCAAUCUCCUAUCAAAAGCUCCACUCCUGAAUAUGGUACUUCUGGGGGGACAUUUUAGAUCUAAACUAUAUAGUAAUGGACAUUUUGCUUAGCUUGAUUGUGGUAAUAAGUUUCCAAUGUGUACAUAUAUCAAACAUCAUUGUAUACCUUUAGUAUAAUACACACAUAAUUUUAGUCAUUUACAUUCCAAAGCAAAAAAAUAAAAUGCAUUAAACAUUUGAGUUUCAAAAUGUUCUAGGGUGAUGGGAAGAAACUAUGUUCCUUCUUUCUGUAUUCUUUGUGUAUACCGGGUAUGUUCUGUCAAUUGAAAUGUUCAAGUCAUUCCUGGUUUGGGAAUAUUUUCUUGUGCUUGUUCCUCAAUUAUUGAUAUUUGGCAGCAUUUUCUCCUUCUGCAACAUUAACAGGUGCCUAAAUCAAUACCAGAAACAUAGUAAACAUUGUUAAAUAUGGGUUGAAUGUGUACUUGGACUCUAGAUAUGUUUGAUCAGUGUCUUACAUGUGUCUCCUUUCAUAAUUCAUAUUCAAUAUUUUGGUAUGUUGUCAGAGAAUUUUUUACUAAUUGUUCCCAUAGAAGCUGCUUUUGGCUAUUUACUUUCUGCUAUGUGUGUUUUUUUUAAACAUUAUGUCAGUUUAUGAAAAUGUAUGUUUUGGAAUAUUGUAUUAUCUGAUUUUUCCUUUUCAUAUCCUCUAACAUUUUAAAUCAUCACAGUGACAUUUUUUAUGUGAAAUGCUUGUUAGAAGUUUUUAUUACUAUCAUUCUCUCCUUUCUUCAUUAACUUUGUUCCAAUAAGAGUUAUUUGCUCUGAUUAUUUAGCUUUGAUUCCUGUAUAGGAUCUUUUCAUUUGUCUGAGUCAAUUCCUAUAUUCCAUUCAAUGUGUAUAUUUACGGCUAGAUUUAAGCGGUUUGGUAUGCAGUGUAUACCAUUUCAUGGUUAGUUCUGUGCUUCCUAGUGACAUCCUGUACAUUCUAAGAAACAUUAAGUGAAAUCCAAAUAGUGGUGCCCUGUUUACUUAAUGUACUAUAGAGAUUUUAUGGAGAAGAUGGAUAAAAAUGAAUGCAUUUUUUGAGACAGUGGAUUUAAGAAGACAAUUUGCUAAAAUGUAACCCACAUACAGAAAAUUGUAUAACUUGUAGUUUUACAAAGUAGCACACAUGUGGAACCAACAUCCAGAUUAAGAAUUAGAGAAUGACUAGCACCCCAGAAUUAGUGAAAGUUGAUGUUUUGGGGGGAUAUUGCUUCAAAUCAUCCAUGCCUUCAAAUGCCAAGGAUUAAACAAACAAUUGCACUUUUUUUCCUAGUCUGUCACCUUCAAAACAACCAGCAGAAAUCUUGCCCGAGCCAUGUGUAUGAAGAAUAUCAAGCUCACCAUCAUCAUCAUCAUCGUAUCAAUUGUAUUCAUCUAUAUCAUUGUAUCCUCUCUCUGUGGUGGAUUUACAUGGCCAAGCUGUGUAAAAAAAUAAAGAAAAAGUUGUCAUUAACCAAGGAUAAAAGAGACAAAGGAAUUAAAAAUAAUCCAUGUGACUCAAGCCUUUCUCUACUCAGAAAAUUGUCUGCCAGUCUCUUCAACCCUCUUUUUCACCUUUUCUUAUUUCAAUCUUGUUCUAUGCCUUCAAGAUUUAUCUUUGUUCCUAUCAGCCAGUUUAUUCCACUGUACUUCAUAUUGAACCAUUCAUUAUAUCAGUAGCCUUGAAAUGGC